rnacentral:rRNA from 1 species
CCUACGGGACGCAGCAGUGAGGAAUAUUGGUCAAUGGACGAGAGUCUGAACCAGCCAAGUAGCGUGAAGGAUGACUGCCCUAUGGGUUGUAAACUUCUUUUAUAAAGGAAUAAAACGAGGCACGUGUGCCUUUUUGCAUGUACUUUAUGAAUAAGGAUCGGCUAACUCCGUGCCAGCAGCCGCGGUAAUACGGAGGAUCCGAGCGUUAUCCGGAUGUAUUGGGUUUAAAGGGAGCGUAGAUGGGUUGUUAAGUCAGUUGUGAAAGUUUGCGGCUCAACCGUAAAAUUGCAAUUGAUACUGGCAGUCUUGAGUACAGUUGAGGUAGGCGGAAUUCGUGGUGUAGCGGUGAAAUGCUUAGAUAUCACGAAGAACCCCGAUUGCGAAGGCAGCUUACUAAACUGUGACUGACAUUGAUGCUCGAAAGUGUGGGUAUCAAACAGGAUUAGAUACCCUUGUAGUC